rnacentral:lncRNA from 1 species
GAUUUGUUAGCCAAAGGUCAUUCCUUCCUACAUUUGAGAAUCUCAAACUCCUGGCACCUGAGAAGAGAAGUAAAAAAUCGUUCACAAAUUAUUGAUACACUAUAAGACCCUGCACGUCUCACCCUGUACAUGGAGACCACGCAAGAUCUGAGCUCAAUGCUAGAUGCUCCCACUUUAAGGAGUCUCCAUUUAAGGUCCAAUGCGACUGAACAGAAAGGAUAUGAAGAAGAGUGGCCCAGAUUUCUAGGAAAUAAGAAUGAAACCCUUCCAGUACUGUGAUGUCUUUGAGUUGAAUCAAAUCAUAGUUGAGAGGGCUGGAAGAUGAAUGGUGACUCAGCUGAGAAGAGACUGGUGAUCUUUUUAUCAUGAAAAUGAUUGUGGAAAGGGCUUUAGGGGUCCCAACUUUUUAUAUUGACUGUGAAGGACAGUUCGUGCUUGGUUUUCUGCAGCAUAGAGAGCUCGGGACACAGCAGGUGCAAGGAGGUUCCAGGACUGAAAGCUUUGGUGCUUCUCAUGGCUUGGAUAUCUCAGUGCCUUGGGUAAAGAAGAUGAAGGACCCUCCCUCGCUCAGGCUUUAGGAGCAGGAGCAAACUGAUGGCCCUAGUAUAAAAGGCUAGUGAAGUCUGCAGAGUUCCUGAGCGAGAAGGAUCUCUGAAAGCAUCUUGUUUCACAGAAGCUUCUUCUGUUCCUGGAAAGGGCUCUGGGGAAUCCAGGGAUCAGUGGUCCUGAUGAUCCCUGGGAGAAGGAUGCUCUGUUCCGGGAGAGUGUUCUGAGAGACCCUUCUGCAAAGCCGAAGUGCUGCAGAAGCCAUUCUUUCACGAGAGAUGCAGCACACAGUUCAGUCAAGAUUUGGUCUGCAAAAAAGCCUCCAAGGGAAAAUGGGCUCUUCGAAUAUUUGCUUUCACAGCUAGUCAUUUUUUUAUGUUUUAAAAUUCUUUGACAGUUUCAUAUAUGUAUAAUAAAUUUUGAUAAUUUUUAUUGUGCACUACCCUCUCUUAUAUAUUCUUCCCCAUGCUGCUUAAACCCCUUAUCCCCUCAGCAAGUUCCCCUCUUGGUUUGAUGUCUUUUUGUGUGUAUUUGAGCCACUGAGAUUAAUUAUGGAUACACACAUGAGCAUAAAGUAUGGGCAAGUGGCUAUGUGGCUAUUCCACCGAAGAAAAUUCUUCUUCUUCCCCAGUACCCACUAAUCCCUUAAAGAGUGUAACUUCCUGAACCUGUCUAUCAACCAUGGUGAAAUGUUGUAAAUUUCUUCUGUAGAUAACCACAGCUAUAGUGAGUUUAUGAAUGCAAUAGACUAGGCACACCCUGAAGACUGCGUUUUGAAAGAAUCCCUCCCAUUUUCUGGCUCUUACAUUCUUCCUACGACUUCUUCUGUGAUGUUUCCUGAGCCUUGAUGAGUGGCGUGUGGUCAGGGAAGUGAUGUAGAUGUUCAGUUUAGGACUGAGAUCUCAACAGUCACUUAUUCUCAGGAUUUUGACCAUCUGUAAGUCUCUAUAUUCCCUGCCACCCAUGGUAUAAAGCUUUUAUUAUGAAGGCUGAGAACUGAAAUAAUCAGUCUAAAUAUAACUAUUCAGAGGAUAGUUUGACAACAUAUUACUCUAGGCAAAUAACAGUGCAAGAUUUUCAUCUAAAGCUGUGGUUUCCAUAACUCUUUCCAUGGGUGUUUUGUUUCCCCUUCUAAGAAGGAUCGAAGUGUCCACACUUUGGUCUUCCUUCUUCUUGAGUUUCAUGUGUUUUGUGAAUUGUAUCUUGGGUUUUCCAGCUUCUGGGAUAAUAUCCACGUAUCAAUGAGUGCAUAACAUGUGUGUUCUUUUGUGAUUGGGUUAUGUCACUCCGAAUGAUAUCCUCCAGAUCCAUCCAUUUGUCUAAGAAUUUCAUAAAUUUAUUGUUUUUAAUAGCUGCAUAGUACUCCAUUGUGUAAAUGUACCACAUUUUCUGUAUCCAUUCCUCUGUUGAGGGACAUCUGGGUUCUUUCCAGCUUCUAGCUAUUAUAAAUAAGGCUGCUAUGAACAUAGUGGUGCAUGUGUUCUUAUUACAAGUUGGAGCAUCUUCUGGGUAUAUGCACAGGAGUCGUAUUCCUGGAUCUUCUGGUAGAACUAUGUCCAAUUUUCUGAGGAAUUGCCAAACUGAUUUCCAGAGUGGUUGUACUAGCUUGAAAUCCCACCAGCAAGGGAAGAGUGUUCCUCUUUCUCCAUAUCCUCGUCAGCAUCUGCUAUUACCUGAGUUUUUGAUCUUAGCCAUUCUGACUGGUAUGAGGUGAAAUCUCAGGGUUGGUUUGAUUUGCAUUUCCCUGAUGACUAAGGAUGGUGAACAUUCUUUUAGGUGCUUCUCAGCCAUUCGUUAUCCCUCAGUUUAGAAUUCUUUGUUUAGCUCUGUACUCUGGGAAUUCAUCCCAUAAACAACCACCCAAACCAGACACUAUCGUGGAUGCCAACAAGAGCUUGCUGACAGGAACCUGAUAUAGCUAUUUCCUGAGAGGCUCUGCUAGUGCCUGACAAAUACAGAAGUAGAUGCUCACAGCCAUUCAUUGGAUGGAGCACAGGGUCCUCAAUGAAGGAGCUAGAGAAAGUACUCAAGGAGAUGAAGAGGUUUGCAGCCCUAUAGGAGGAACAAUAGUAUGAACUAACUAGUACCUGGGGGUACUAACCCACCAACCAAAGAAAACACAUGGUGGGACUCAUGGCUCUAGCUGCAUAUGUAGUAGAGGAUGGUAUAGUCCGUCAUCAAUGGGAGGAGAUGUCCUUGGUUCUGGGAAGGUUCUAUGCCUCAGUAUAGGGGAAUGCCAGGGCCAGGAAGCAGGAGUGGGUGGGUUUGUGAGUGGGGGAGAGGGGAGAGGAUAGAGGAUUUUUGGAGGGGAAACUAGGAAAGGGGAUAACAUUUGAAAUGUAAAUAAAGAAAAUAUCUAAUAAAAAUAAA